rnacentral:tRNA from 1 species
CUAGUUGUAGCUCAGCGGCAGAGCGUCCGGUUUGGGGCCGGUUACGCGUGGGUUCGAGUCCCACCAACUAGACCA